AGUGGGAUAAUUGGGUCAAAUGGUGGUUCCAUUCCUAGUUUUUUGAGGAAUCUCCAUACUGCUUUCCAUAAUGGUUUUGCCAAUUUGCACUCCCACCAGCAAU
rnacentral:pre_miRNA from 1 species